GCUUUAUAAAGCCCUGUGAGACACACAACAGUCCCCUCUGACAGAGGGUACACCUGGACUUUAUCAGCUGUCAGUCAGAAACACACCCCCCCUCCUCCAGCAUGAAGUUUGCUCUUUGUAAACUGACGCUCUGCUGACAGCGACUUCUCCACCCUGGGUUAAGCUCGACCUCCUCAUUCAUGGUUGAUGACGCCAAACAACGUAAGCUACCCGGACUCUGCUGGAUUAACCAGGACCAGCUGCCUCCUGAUUAUGCAGUAAGAACCUCAGCAUUUACCUUCAGCUCCACAAACCUUCC